GCGACCCCAGGUCAGGCGGGACUACCCGCUGAGUUUAAGCAUAUAAAUAAGCGGAGGAGAAGAAACUAACAAGGAU
rnacentral:rRNA from 1 species